rnacentral:misc_RNA from 1 species
UCGUGCACGCCCGAGUGCCCUCACACACAUCCAUCUCACCCCUAUGUGCACCACCGCGUGGGUCCCCCUUUGGCUUGUUCGGAGGGGGGCUUACGUUUUCACACAAACUUUGUAUGCAGUGUAGAAUGUAUUUUUUGUUUUUGCGAUCACGCAAUCAAUACAACUUUCAACAACGGAUCUCUUGGCUCUCGCAUCGAUGAAGAACGCAGCGAAAUGCGAUACGUAAUGUGAAUUGCAGAAUUCAGUGAAUCAUCGAAUCUUUGAACGCACCUUGCGCCCCUUGGCAUUCCGAGGGGCACACCCGUUUGAGUGUCGUGAAAUUCUCAAAAACCUUUUUCUUUUUGGGAAAGGGUUUUUGGACUUGGAGGCUUUUUGCUGGCUUCACCUUGAAGUGAGCUCCUCCUAAAUGAAUCAGUGGGGUCCGCUUUGCCGAUCCUUGACGUGAUAAGAUGUUUCUGCGUCUUUGGGUUUGGCACUGUCACCUGCUUCUAACUGUCUCAUUGACAAUGAUGGUGCUCCGGUCACCACCGCUCUUAUCGGUGGGAGGCUUGACCCACAAAAACAAAACCUUGACCUCAAAUCGGGUGAGACUACCCGCU